rnacentral:rRNA from 1 species
UCAGGAUGAACGCUAGCGACAGGCCUAACACAUGCAAGUCAGGGGCAGCACAAGGAGCAAUCUGAGGUGGCGACCGGCGCACGGGUGAGUAACACGUAUGCAACCUGCCUGUAAGCGGGGAAUAACCCGUUGAAAGACGGACUAAUACCGCAUAAUACUAAAUUACUGCAUGGUAAUUUAUUUAAACAUUUAUGGCUUACAGAUGGGCAUGCGCAUGAUUAGCUAGUUGGAGAGGUAACGGCUCCCCAAGGCAACGAUCAUUAGGGGUUCUGAGAGGAAGGUCCCCCCACACUGGUACUGAGACACGGACCAGACUCCUACGGGAGGCAGCAGUGAGGAAUAUUGGUCAAUGGACGAGAGUCUGAACCAGCCAAGUCGCGUGCAGGAAGAAUGUCCUAUGGAUUGUAAACUGCUUUUGCAGGGGAAUAAAGUGCAUCACGUGUGAUGUUUUGUAUGUACUCUGCGAAUAAGGAUCGGCUAACUCCGUGCCAGCCGCGGC